UCCAGACUCCUACGGGAGGCAGCAGUGGGGGAUAUCGCACAAUGGGGGAAACCCUGAUGCAGCGACGCCGCGUGAGUGAAGAAGUAUUUCGGUAUGUAAAGCUCUAUCAGCAGGGAAGAAAAAAGACGGUACCUGACUAAGAAGCCCCGGCUAACUACGUGCCAGCAGCCGCGGUAAUACGUAGGGGGCAAGCGUUAUCCGGAUUUACUGGGUGUAAAGGGAGCGUAGACGGCAAUACAAGUCGGAAGUGAAAUACCCGGGCUCAACCUGGGAACUGCUUUGGAAACUGUAUGGCUGGAGUGCUGGAGAGGUAAGCGGAAUUCCUAGUGUAGCGGUGAAAUGCGUAGAUAUUAGGAGGAACACCAGUGGCGAAGGCGGCUUACUGGACAGUAACUGACGUUGAGGCUCGAAAGCGUGGGGAGCAAACAGGAUUAGAUACCCUGGUAU
rnacentral:rRNA from 1 species